rnacentral:rRNA from 1 species
GCGGACCGACGGGAGCUUGCUCCCUUAGGUCAGCGGCGGACGGGUGAGUAACACGUGGGUAACCUGCCUGUAAGACUGGGAUAACUCCGGGAAACCGGGGCUAAUACCGGAUGCUUGAUUGAACCGCAUGGUUCAAUCAUAAAAGGUGGCUUUYAGCUACCACUURCAGAUGGACCCGCGGCGCAUUAGCUAGUUGGUGAGGUAACGGCUCACCAAGGCGACGAUGCGUAGCCGACCUGAGAGGGUGAUCGGCCACACUGGGACUGAGACACGGCCCAGACUCCUACGGGAGGCAGCAGUAGGGAAUCUUCCGCAAUGGACGAAAGUCUGACGGAGCAACGCCGCGUGAGUGAUGAAGGUUUUCGGAUCGUAAAACUCUGUUGUUAGGGAAGAACAAGUACCGUUCGAAUAGGGCGGYACCUUGACGGUACCUAACCAGAAAGCCACGGCUAACUACGUGCCAGCAGCCGCGGUAAUACGUAGGUGGCAAGCGUUGUCCGGAAUUAUUGGGCGUAAAGCGCGCGCAGGCGGUUUCUUAAGUCUGAUGUGAAAGCCCCCGGCUCAACCGGGGAGGGUCAUUGGAAACUGGGGAACUUGAGUGCAGAAGAGGAGAGUGGAAUUCCACGUGUAGCGGUGAAAUGCGUAGAGAUGUGGAGGAACACCAGUGGCGAAGGCGACUCUCUGGUCUGUAACUGACGCUGAGGCGCGAAAGCGUGGGGAGCGAACAGGAUUAGAUACCCUGGUAGUCCACGCCGUAAACGAUGAGUGCUAAGUGUUAGAGGGUUUCCGCCCUUUAGUGCUGCAGCAAACGCAUUAAGCACUCCGCCUGGGGAGUACGGUCGCAAGACUGAAACUCAAAGGAAUUGACGGGGGCCCGCACAAGCGGUGGAGCAUGUGGUUUAAUUCGAA